rnacentral:rRNA from 1 species
CCUGGCUUAGAUUGAACGCUGGCGGCGUGCGUUAACACAUGCAAGUCGAACGCGAAAGGGACUUCGGUCCUGAGUAAAGUAGGCGCACGGGUGAGUAACGCGUGGAUAAUCUGCCCUUAUGAUCGGAUAACAGUUGGAAACGGCUGCUAAUACCGGAUACGCUCAAAAUGAACUUUUUGAGGAAAGAUGGCCUCUGCUUGCAUGCUAUCGCGUAAGGAUGAGUCCGCGUCCCAUUAGCUUGUUGCGGGUAACGGCCCACCAAGGCAACGAUGGGUAGCCGAUUUGAGAGGAUGAUCGGCCACACUGGAACUGAAACACGGUCCAGACUCCUACGGGAGGCAGCAGUGGGGAAUAUUGCGCAAUGGGCGAAAGCCUGACGCAGCGACGCCGCGUGAGGGAUGAAGGUUUUCGGAUCGUAAACCUCUGUCAGAAGGGAAGAAACUACAUUGUGCUAAUCAGCAGUGUACUGACGGUACCUUCAAAGGAAGCACCGGCUAACUCCGUGCCAGCAGCGGC